GUAUUGGAACACGGCAGAAGGGGCGGGACUUCGCCCAAGUUUUCCCGCUUCUUCUCAGUUUGGGGCCGAAUCAACUGAACAAUAGAAUCUCGGAUCUCCAUUUUUGUGCCAUUCAAGUGCAUGUGACGAUUGAUCUGGACUCAAGCUGUAGGCCUACCAGUCAGAUGAGUAACUCAGUGGAGGAGGAGGACUUUGCGGAUAUCAGGGCCUACUUUUCCACAACAAAAUGGAACCGCCUCUGUAUGGCGGAGAAAAAAAGAUUCCUGCAGAUCAAGGAAAACCAUUUGGUUAUGUCGUCUCUUGGCCUGUCCUUUGUGGCUCCAGCCUUCAUGAGGAGAGAGAUGCCCGGCCAGGUGAGAGUCUGCUCACCUGAAGAGACAGACUCUGAGG